UCGGCCAUCAGCAAAUACUGGUUGACGUUUGCCAUGCAACUGCGAAAACCAGUUUGAUAAUCAGAGAACUCGGAAGCAGCGGCAGUGCCUGAAAGCAAUGGAAAGACAUCGUAAGUGCUGAUAAUCUGUAUCGUGUGUGCUGAAAGGGGUCCCAAGGAGAGAUGGCACAGCGAAGAGGACACAAACAUUUCUAUCUGGAUGGAUGGUCAAUGUCUUCCUGAUUCAAAAUCAAGCUUGUCUCAUUGGAACUACAGCUUGCGCUACGCUACCCGCUGCUUCGGUCCCCCUACAGGUUGUCUCAUUGGAACUACAGCUACAGCUAAAAGUUACAUAUGUGUUGCUUUAAACUCCAAAACACAUAGUAUUUACAUCUUUAUAAAUGUGUUGCAUAAAGCCGUGGUGUCAUUACAGCUCUAUAACUGUACAGCGAUGACAUAAAUAAUUAUAGUACUGAUACAAGUGGAAAAUAUUUUUAUGAUGAGUUAUGUUACAGUAUGUGUGUGUAAGUGAAAUAGGUAAAAUGAGGUGGA